rnacentral:rRNA from 1 species
UACGUAGGGGGCUAGCGUUGUCCGGAAUCAUUGGGCGUAAAGCGCGUGUAGGCGGUCCGGUAAGUCCGCUGUGAAAGUCGAGGGCUCAACCCUCGAAUGCCGGUGGAUACUGUCGGGCUAGAGUACGGAAGAGGCGAGUGGAAUUCCUGGUGUAGCGGUGAAAUGCGCAGAUAUCAGGAAGAACACCUAUGGCGAAGGCAGCUCUCUGGGACGGUACUGACGCUGAGACGCGAAAGCGUGGGGAGCGAACAGG